rnacentral:miRNA from 18 species
AACAAUAUCCUGAUGCUGAGU